AACGAACGCUGGCGGCAGGCCUAACACAUGCAAGUCGAGCGGUUGAGGGGAGCUUGCUCCCUGAUUCAGCGGCGGACGGGUGAGUAAUGCCUAGGAAUCUGCCUAUUAGUGGGGGACGACGUUUCGAAAGGAACGCUAAUACCGCAUACGUCCUACGGGAGAAAGCAGGGGACCUUCGGGCCUUGCGCUAAUAGAUGAGCCUAGGUCGGAUUAGCUAGUUGGUGAGGUAAUGGCUCACCAAGGCGACGAUCCGUAACUGGUCUGAGAGGAUGAUCAGUCACACUGGAACUGAGACACGGUCCAGACGCCUACGGGAGGCAGCAGUGGGGAAUAUUGGACAAUGGGCGAAAGCCUGAUCCAGCCAUGCCGCGUGUGUGAAGAAGGUCUUCGGAUUGUAAAGCACUUUAAGUUGGGAGGAAGGGCAGUAAGUUAAUACCUUGCUGUUUUGACGUUACCGACAGAAUAAGCACCGGCUAACUACGUGCCAGCCGCCGCAGUAAGAC
rnacentral:rRNA from 1 species